rnacentral:rRNA from 1 species
GGUAGCCGGCCUGAGAGGGUGACCGGCCACACUGGGACUGAGACACGGCCCAGACUCCUACGGGAGGCAGCAGUGGGGAAUAUUGCACAAUGGGCGAAAGCCUGAUGCAGCGACGCCGCGUGAGGGAUGACGGCCUUCGGGUUGUAAACCUCUUUCAGCACGGAAGAAGCGAAAGUGACGGUACGUGCAGAAGAAGCGCCGGCUAACUACGUGCCAGCAGCCGCGGUAAUACGUAGGGCGCAAGCGUUGUCCGGAAUUAUUGGGCGUAAAGAGCUCGUAGGCGGUUUGUCGCGUCUGCUGUGAAAGCCCGGGGCUUAACCCCGGGUGUGCAGUGGGUACGGGCAGACUUGAGUGCAGUAGGGGAGACUGGAAUUCCUGGUGUAGCGGUGAAAUGCGCAGAUAUCAGGAGGAACACCGAUGGCGAAGGCAGGUCUCUGGGCUGUUACUGACGCUGAGGAGCGAAAGCAUGGGGAGCGAACAGGAUUAGAUACCCUGGUAGUCCAUGCCGUAAACGUUGGGCACUAGGUGUGGGGGAA